GGCGCCGUGGCUUAGGUAAAGCGCCUGUCUUGUAAACAGGAGAUCGUGAGUUCGAAUCUCACCGGUGCCU
rnacentral:tRNA from 1 species